GAUGAGAGUAACUGUUCAUCCCUUGACGGUAUCUAACCAAAAAGCCACGGCUAACUACGUGCCACCACCCGCGGUAAUACGUAGGUGGCAAGCGUUGUCCGGAUUUAUUGGGCGUAAAGCGAGCGCAGGCGGUUUCUUAAGUCUGAUGUGAAAGCCCCCGGCUCAACCGGGGAGGGUCAUUGGAAACUGGGAGACUUGAGUGC
rnacentral:rRNA from 1 species